UUUCCUUCGGGGAAUGAGUACAGUGGCGCACGGGUGAGUAACACGUAGGUGACCUGCCAAUUGGAGGGGGAUAACUGGAAGAAAUUUCAGCUAAUACCGCAUAAGCACAGCAAAUUUGAAAGUAGCUGUGGAAAGAUUGCCUCUAUACUAUGCAAUUACCGAUUGAUGGGCCUGCGCGGCAUUAGCUUGAUGGUGGGGUAACGGCCUACCAUGGCGACGAUGCCUAGCUGGUUUGAGAGAAUGAUCAGCCACACUGGAACUGAGACACGGUCCAGACUCCUACGGGAGGCAGCAGUGGGGAAUAUUGCGCAAUGGGCGAAAGCCUGACGCAGCAAUACCGCGUGAGUGAGGAAGGAUUUCGGUUCGUAAAACUCUGUCAGAGUGGAAAAAUGUGUAGAUGUCUAAUAGGCAUUUGCAGUGAUGGUACACUCAAAGGAAGCACCGGCUAACUUCGUGCCAGCAGCCGCGGUAAUACG
rnacentral:rRNA from 1 species